UAAUGUGCACAACGCAAUUUGGGAAA
rnacentral:piRNA from 1 species